rnacentral:rRNA from 1 species
ACCUCCGGACUGGGGUUCGCAAGCUUCACGGCGAACGUACCUCGGGAAGUUGGUUAAACCUCACUAUUUAGAGGAAGGUGAAGUUGUAACAAGGUCUCCGUAGGUGAACCUGCAGAAGGAUC